UAGAGUUUGAUCCUGGCUCAGGAUGAACUCUAGCUACAGGCUUAACACAUGCAAGUCGAGGGGCAGCAUUAUCGGAGCUUGCUUUGAUAGAUGGCGACCGGGCGCACGGGUGAGUAACGCGUAUCCAACCUUCCCCUUAGUAGAGGAUAGCCCGGCGAAAGUCGGAUUAAUACUCUAUGUUGUAUUUUGAGGACAUCUGACGAAUACCAAAGAUUUAUCGCUAAGGGAUGGGGAUGCGUCUGAUUAGCUUGUCGGCGGGGUAACGGCCCACCGAGGCGACGAUCAGUAGGGGUUCUGAGAGGAAGGUCCCCCACAUUGGUACUGAGACACGGACCAAACUCCUACGGGAGGCAGCAGUGAGUAAUAUUGGUCAAUGGGCGUAGGCCUGAACCAGCCAAGUAGCGUGCAGGAAGACUGCCCUAUGGGUUGUAAACUGCUUUUAUGCGGGAAUAAAGUCAGGUACGUGUACCUGUUUGCAUGUACCGCAUGAAUAAGGACCGGCUAAUUCCGUGCCAGCAGCCGCGGUAAUACGGAAGGUCCGGGCGUUAUCCGGAUUUAUUGGGUUUAAAGGGAGCGCAGGCGGAGGAUUAAGCGUGACGUGAAAUGUCCCGGCUCAACCGUGGAACUGCGUCGCGAACUGGUUUUCUUGAGUGAGUGCGACGUCGGCGGAAUUCGUGGUGUAGCGGUGAAAUGCUUAGAUAUCACGAAGAACCCCGAUUGCGAAGGCAGCCGACGAGUCCUUAACUGACGCUAAAGCUCGAAAGUGCGGGUAUCGAACAGGAUUAGAUACCCUGGUAGUCCGCACGGUAAACGAUG
rnacentral:rRNA from 1 species